CAGCCCUGUAGGAGACACCUCCAGAGAAAGUAACAGCUCUCAAUUGAUUAGCUGAGGAAGACACCAGACAAAUGAGUUACACUGUUUUGGACUCCCCAACACAACCCAGCCACCGGCUGAAUGCCACCAAAUUACCUUCUAGUUAAAGGUUUAUGGAGCAAACGAAUCACCUAUUCAAUAUCUGCUUGAAUUUCUGACUCAAAAUACAUCAGGUAUAAAAUGAUGGUUUUUUUAAGCCACUAAGUCUUGGGGGAGUUUAUUAUAAAGCAAUAGAUAAUUUUGAAAAUAAAUAGAACAAGCUGAAGUCCCAAUAAGAACUCCAUGGUUUCAUUUAUUUCUUUGAUAGAAUGGUCUUGGAAGUAACAUCUAAUUUUGACUGAGGUAUCAUCUCUAACCAGUGAUCUAUAAAGCAGUUUGGGAUCUCUAGCCUGCCCGUGAUCAUAUAUAUAUAUACACACACACACAUAAACAUAUAUAACAUAUAUAUAAACAUAUAUAUGCAUGUAUGUGCCCCAUAGUUAGGUAAGUCAAUUUACAAUGAUGAAGUAAAUCGAAUUCAUAAUAAUAACGGUUAGGUUUAGUGAUAAAUUUUGUAAUUACUGCUGUUAUGUUUGUGGAUUUUUUUUCUUUCUUUGAGACACGUUCUUGCUUUGUCACCCAGGCUGGAGUGCAGUGGUACAAUCAUGACUCAUUGCAGCCUCAAUCUCCC
rnacentral:lncRNA from 1 species